GGAAGUGUACAUGUCGUGUUUGAUGUAAAAGAAUACAGUAAUGAACUUUCUGCUGCGCUCCUAAAAUGUCUUUAUCUAGACCUUCAGCUGAAAAACAUGGAAAAAAUGAGAAAAACCCAACUGGAAGACAGAGUCCUGAUUUGGAUCGACCAAACAUGAGUGAUCUGAGGAUUGUUCUGUUGGGGAAGAGUUUAUUUGAAAACAUCAGAGUGAGAAACUUUAUCCUGGGUCCAAAUGUGAAGGAGACUG